rfam:Microbial mat metagenome hsmat07_BHWS7447_b1, whole genome shotgun sequence.
CCUGCUGUUCUGCCAGUAGUAUCCUACCGCCACGUGCGCCGUGCAAGAAUGGCGGAGUACGGAGCGUGCGGGACAACGUAACCCCUGACCGGAUGGUCAAGAGACAGAAUCGCGAGAAGACGUCAAUUCUGCCAGCCUCAGAAGGCGGAGGGGAAC